rnacentral:lncRNA from 1 species
UUUUUUUUUUUAAUGUCCUUUUUUUUUUCUUUUAAGAUGGGGGUCUUGCUCUGUUGCCCAGGCUGGUGUAGGCAAUUCAAAGGAUAUUGCUAUAUAAUCUCACAAAAAAAAUUACUGGAGAUAGAAUUUCAAUUAUUUAAAGAACGUAAUUUGUCAUAUUUUGGGGAAACAAGCAAAGCAGCAAUAAAAAUGACACCAAGGACAUCUUUAUAGA